CAGCAGCCGCGGGAAUACAGAGGGUGCGAGCGUUAAUCGGAUUUACUGGGCGUAAAGCGUGCGUAGGCGGCUAAUUGAGUCGGAUGUGAAAUCCCCGAGCUUAACUUGGGAAUUGCAUUCGAUACUGGUUAGCUAGAGUGUGGGAGAGGAUGGUAGAAUUCCAGGUGUAGCGGUGAAAUGCGUAGAGAUCUGGAGGAAUACCGAUGGCGAAGGCAGCCAUCUGGCCUAACACUGACGCUGAGGUACGAAAGCAUGGGGAGCAAACAGGAUUAGAUACCCCGGUAGUCCCUGUCUCUUAUAC
rnacentral:rRNA from 1 species